UACGUAGGGUGCAAGCGUUGUCCGGAAUUAUUGGGCGUAAAGCGCUUGUAGGCGGUUUGUCGCGUCUGCUGUGAAAUUUCGGGGCUCAACCCCGAACUUGCAGUGGGUACGGGCAGACUAGAGUGUGGUAGGGGAGACUGGAAUUCCUGGUGUAGCGGUGAAAUGCGCAGAUAUCAGGAGGAACACCGAUGGCGAAGGCAGGUCCCUGGGCCACUACUGACGCUGAGAAGCGAAAGCAUGGGGAGCAAACAGG
rnacentral:rRNA from 1 species